rnacentral:rRNA from 1 species
AUGAACGCUGGCGGCGUGCCUAAUACAUGCAAGUCGAGCGAACAGACGAGGAGCUUGCUCCUCUGACGUUAGCGGCGGACGGGUGAGUAACACGUGGAUAACCUACCUAUAAGACUGGGAUAACUUCGGGAAACCGGAGCUAAUACCGGAUAAUAUAUUGAACCGCAUGGUUCAAUAGUGAAAGACGGUUUUGCUGUCACUUAUAGAUGGAUCCGCGCCGCAUUAGCUAGUUGGUAAGGUAACGGCUUACCAAGGCAACGAUGCGUAGCCGACCUGAGAGGGUGAUCGGCCACACUGGAACUGAGACACGGUCCAGACUCCUACGGGAGGCAGCAGUAGGGAAUCUUCCGCAAUGGGCGAAAGCCUGACGGAGCAACGCCGCGUGAGUGAUGAAGGGCUUCGGAUCGUAAAACUCUGUUAUUAGGGAAGAACAAAUGUGUAAGUAACUAUGCACGUCUUGACGGUACCUAAUCAGAAAGCCACGGCUAACUACGUGC